AAAAAAUGAAAAUGCUGAGAAAAGCCUUCUGAAUUGUUUUUUUGUUUGUUUGUUUUUUUUCUUUUAUGUAUGUAUGUGGCCAUGUAUACUCCCUAUGCAUUUUUGGGUCAAAUGUCAGUUUAAAGCCCAAUCCAGAACCGUAACAACUGUUCCGCGCGGAUAAGUUUAUAAUACAAAAAAUGUUAUUUAAUUCCCUGUGCUUUUUCGAUUUUGGGGAAAAUAAAAAUGUUCAUGUGAAGAUUUAAUGGUAAUGUACCACAUUUUAUUAGACUAGCUUGUUGGCAUUACUCCCCUGAACCCAUUAAGCGAUUUCAGUACAUUAGAUAAGUUAUUACAUAAUCCACCAUAUAUUACAUCAUCAGCUAAAGUAAAGCCCUUUCACAAGCCCACGCCUGCUCAGUCACUCACAAAUAUACCAUGUAAACAUGGUUAAUCUUGUCGUACAGCUUAAAUAAAGGGCGAUUCACCUUCUGACCAGAGGAUGCUAGUUCAUGGCUAUUGAGCAGUAAGGAAAGCCAAACUAGGUAAAUGUUACUGGGUAAUUACUUUAUGCUUCUAUAACAAGUUCCUGUAGGGGAGAGAGCACAUGUUGCUUUUUCUACCGCACGAGUUGUCAAUGUGCAACGUAAGCCAGUCAUGUACUCAUGAUUUUGGUUGGGAGACUACAGUCAAAUAUUUGUGUUACAUUACAUCAAUCUUUUGGCUCUUUAUUUUUAUUUUUGGUGUGCAUUUUGUUUUGUUUUUUAACAUGCAGUGUCUAAAUUGGAGAGCCUCAGCUGCAGCAAACUGUGGGUAGCAAAACAUUCAAUGGCUGCAAGGAAACUACAUUAUCUUGUCACCUCUUGUCAACUCAACAAAUCAGAAAAUUACCAGUAACAGAUAAAAAAUGUUAGCUGAACACUAGCAAGUUGUUACAACUAGCAAACUAUAGCACCUACCAAUCUGACCAUUAGUUAUACAUAAAUAACAAAUACAAUUGUGACAGCAAAACUACCCAAACCAGCUAUUUAUAGCCAUUUUAUUCACAACUUGCCACAAUAAGUGAGCAGCAACAAACCUACUUAAACUAACCAGCUAUAAGUAGGCUUGUUGCUGAGAACUAUACAAUGAGUCAAUAAGAUGUCUUGUUAGCUUACUGGCCUGUUUAAUGACAGUUGUUGAUGAGCUAACUUAAAUUUCUUCUCCGAUAUCUAGCCAGUUAACCUAUUUAGCUAAAUGAUAAACACAAACACUGACUUCUUCGUUGCAGUCAGCGUAAUUAUGACUUGAAACUGAGAAAAUGAUGUCAUGCUGCACAUUUCAAAAGUAGGAAAUGUCAGUGUCUCCAGUCUUUGUUCCUAUUUUUUUUUAUUAAUGUGUUUAUUUUUUUAAUUAUGUUUCAUGCUUUAUUUUUUAAAGAUAUUUUGAUUUGUUCUUUUGCCUAAUAUGUGUUUGGAUGUCAAAGUUGCUACGGUUCUGGACUGGGCUAUUAAUAAUGUACGCAUUGAUAUUGUGUAUUUUUUUUCCAAACUGUGUAAAGUUCUAUUCUAUGUAAUAUAGUAUUUUUCUAUGACAGUAUGCUCUUCCAAAACAUAGGAAGAAAAUACAAAAUGAAAAAUAAAACGUAUAACUUUGUUGUUGUCAUUUUGAUUUGUUUGUUUGUUUGUUUGUUUGUUUCAUUUUCUAAGAAACAAAGAGUGUACUGCUAUACUUCUCUUUUUGAGAAAAGAAAA
ensembl:lncRNA